rnacentral:rRNA from 1 species
CGCCAGACUCCUACGGGAGGCAGCAGUGGGGAAUAUUGCACAAUGGGGGAAACCCUGAUGCAGCGACGCCGCGUGAGUGAAGAAGUAUUUCGGUAUGUAAAGCUCUAUCAGCAGGGAAGAAAAUGACGGUACCUGAUUAAGAAGCCCCGGCUAACUACGUGCCAGCAGCCGCGGUAAUACGUAGGGGGCAAGCGUUAUCCGGAUUUACUGGGUGUAAAGGGAGCGUAGACGGUGAUGCAAGUCAGAAGUGAAAGCCCGGGGCUCAACUCCGGGACUGCUUUUGAAACUGUGUGACUGGAGUGCAGGAGAGGUAAGCGGAAUUCCUGGUGUAGCGGUGAAAUGCGUAGAUAUCAGGAGGAACACCAGUGGCGAAGGCGGCUUACUGGACUGUAACUGACGUUGAGGCUCGAAAGCGUGGGGAGCAAACAGGAUUAGAUACCCUGGUAG